rnacentral:rRNA from 1 species
CCUACGGGAGGCUGCAGUGAGGAAUAUUGGUCAAUGGGCGCGAGCCUGAACCAGCCAAGUCGCGUGAGGGAAGACGGUCCUAUGGAUUGUAAACCUCUUUUGUCGGGGAGCAAAAGACGCCACGCGUGUCGUUCCGCGAGUACCCGAAGAAACAGCAUCGGCUAACUCCGUGCCAGCAGCCGCGGUAAUCCGGAGGAUGCGAGCGUUAUCCGGAUUUAUUGGGUUUAAAGGGUGCGCAGGCGGAAGAUCAAGUCAGCGGUAAAAUUGAGGGGCUCAACCUCUUCGAGCCGUUGAAACUGGUUUUCUUGAGUGAGCGAGAAGUAUGCGGAAUGCGUGGUGGAGCGGUGAAAUGCAUAGAUAUCACGCAGAACUCCGAUUGCGAAGGCAGCAUACCGGCGCUCAACUGACGCUCAUGCACGAAAGUGUGGGUAUCGAACAGGAUUAGAUACCCCAGUAGUC